rnacentral:rRNA from 1 species
GACGUAGGAGACGAACGUUAUCCGGAGUUACUGGGCGUAAAGGGCGUGCAGGCGGUCUGAUAAGUUCGGCGUGAAAUAUUCCGGCUUAACCGGGAUAGGUCGUCGGAGACUCUCGGACUAGAGGGUGAUAGAGGCGUGUGGAAUUCCGGGUGUAGUGGUGAAAUGCGUAGAGAUCCGGAGGAACACCAGUGGCGAAGGCGACACGCUGGGUCACACCUGACGCUAAAGCGCGACAGCAUGGGGAGCGAACGGG